GGGAGCAGCAGAGCGGUGCUGCAAUAUUCAUAUUGUUUUAAUUGCAACAUUAACAUUUCAUGCAGCUCUUGGCAUAUUUUCAGGUGCGGCCCUUUAGCUCAAUGCAAUACUGUGAAAGGUUGGAUCAGAACAAUUAGGAUACAGUGACUGGAUUUCUGGAUUUUAUUUUUUUUCUUUUGUAAGAAACACAAGCCUAGAUUCAAUUGCUGUCACUCCUUUUGUUUGGCAGAACAGGGAGUCAAGCACCCCUGAAGUAAAUGGAAUAAAGGAUGCGCUGUGGCACGUGCUUACCUUCUCUCUUUGCUGAGCUGAAGCCCUGCAGAAUGUCUGGUGUCUAAUAAUGGAUGAUACACUACGGUUUUGAAGCACCGUUAAACGUCGAGCUGAAGGGAAGUGCAAUCCAUCACCUUCCUCGUGGGCUGCCACUCAGCCGAGAGGAACAGAGAUCAGCCUUCAAUCACACGGGGGCUGGGGCUGAAGGAAACCUUCUGGAGAACACAGUGGAGAAAUAUUUUCAUUAGCAGAGGAGGACCUGACAGAGAUGAAGUGUCCCUUCACCUCGCCUGCCGGACCUCUGCCCUGCCCGGCGCUAACAGGACGAGCAAACACGGUCCCAGCAGCUUGUGCCAGCUGCCAAAUUUUAAGGGCUGGCUGCAUCCAGAUGUGUGAAACAGCCCCCACACGGAGAACAACCAGGCUUUUAUAGCCUGGGGGAGAUGGCUUUGCUUUUCUCCUGCCUGUCUACAAGUGAACGGGUGCCCUCGCACAGGCCAGAAAAAGUUGUCCUUGGGCAAUAAGGUCUGGGAGCACAGGAGGUAUCGUGGGCUCUGCCUCCUGCAGCGUGUUUGCAAAUGUAACAGGACUGCCCUUGGGGUGGGGGGUUUUCUCUGCUUCUCUCCAAGGAAAGCCAUUUCGCAGGCUGCUGUUGCAGUCAUCUUCUCUUAGUAUGUGUCCCCCUGUGGCAGAGGAGACUCACUUCUGCUCUUUGUAUCGGUUGUGCCAGGGAAAUGCAUGCAGCUGGGAGCCUGGCACAGGAAGGUCUGGUCCUCCACUCACAGUAUAAGGAUGCCUCGCCAGGUCCUGUCUUGCAGGUUGAAGGGAAAUUGUUUUAAUUUGUG
rnacentral:lncRNA from 1 species